rnacentral:rRNA from 1 species
CUGAGAGGAUGACCAGCCACACUGGAACUGAGACACGGUCCAGACUCCUACGGGAGGCAGCAGUGGGGAAUAUUGCACAAUGGGCGCAAGCCUGAUGCAGCCAUGCCGCGUGUAUGAAGAAGGCCUUCGGGUUGUAAAGUACUUUCAGCGGGGAGGAAGGGAGUAAAGUUAAUACCUUUGCUCAUUGACGUUACCCGCAGAAGAAGCACCGGCUAACUCCGUGCCAGCAGCCGCGGUAAUACGGAGGGUGCAAGCGUUAAUCGGAAUUACUGGGCGUAAAGCGCACGCAGGCGGUUUGUUAAGUCAGAUGUGAAAUCCCCGGGCUCAACCUGGGAACUGCAUCUGAUACUGGCAAGCUUGAGUCUCGUAGAGGGGGGUAGAAUUCCAGGUGUAGCGGUGAAAUGCGUAGAGAUCUGGAGGAAUACCGGUGGCGAAGGCGGCCCCCUGGAC